UACGCAGGUGGCAAGCGUUGUCCGGAAUUACUGGGCGUAAAGGGCGUGUAGGCGGCCAAUUAAGUCAGACGUGAAAUCCCUGGGCUUAACCCAGGAACUGCGUUUGAAACUGGAUGGCUUGAGGACCGGGGAGGGCAGUGGAAUUCCCAGUGUAGCGGUGAAAUGCGUAGAUAUUGGGAGGAACACCAGUGGCGAAGGCGACUGCCUGGACGGCACCUGACGCUGAGGCGCGAAAGCUAGGGGAG
rnacentral:rRNA from 1 species